rnacentral:lncRNA from 1 species
GUUUAGCAUGGUAGAGACUAAUGCCAAAUGGGGCUCUCCCAUGAAUUCUAUUAGAUAAGAAUUAGGGUUAGUCCGGGGUCUAAUCAUCACUAAUAUGUUUUUUUUAAGGGAAGAGUACUAUGACUCAUUGAUCAUUGUGAUCUAUGGGGUGUAGAAAGGUUUGGAAUCAAGCUAUCGAUUCUCUUGUGCCGCUAUCAUGAUCAAGGUUUAGAUAUACGCCUUCAUGAU